GAUGAACGCUGGCGGCGUGCCUAACACAUGCAAGUCGAACGGAGUCCAGCCUUUAAGACCUUCGGGUCAAGAGGGGAAGACUGAGUGGCGGACGGGUGAGUAACACGUGGGCAACCUGGCUCAUAGAGGGGGAUAACAGAGAGAAAUUUCUGCUAAUACCGCAUAAGCACACACUGCCGCAUGGCAGAGGGUGAAAAGAGAAUCGCUAUGAGAUGGACCCGCGUCUGAUUAGCCAGUUGGCAGGGUAAGAGCCUACCAAAGCGACGAUCAGUAGCCGAUCUGAGAGGAUGAACGGCCACAUUGGGACUGAGACACGGCCCAAACUCCUACGGGAGGCAGCAGUGGGGGAUAUUGCACAAUGGGGGGAACCCUGAUGCAGCGACGCCGCGUGAGUGAAGAAGUAUUUCGGUAUGUAAAGCUCUAUCAGCAGGGAAGAUAAUGACAGUACCUGAAUAAGAAGCCCCGGCUAACUACGUG
rnacentral:rRNA from 1 species